AACGAACGCUGGCGGCAUGCCUAACACAUGCCAGUCGAACGAGACCUUCGGGUCUAGUGGCGCACGGGUGCGUAACGCGUGGGAACCUGCCCUUAGGUUCGGAAUAACUCCCCUAAAGGGGUGCUAAUACCGGAUAAUGUCUUCGGACCAAAGAUUUAUCGCCUUUGGAUGGGCCCGCGUUGGAUUAGCUAGUUGGUAGGGUAAAAGCCUACCAAGGCGACGAUCCAUAGCUGGUCUGAGAGGAUGAUCAGCCACACUGGGACUGAGACACGGCCCAGACUCCUACGGGAGGCAGCAGUGGGGAAUAUUGGACAAUGGGCGAAAGCCUGAUCCAGCAAUGCCGCGUGAGUGAUGAAGGCCUUAGGGUUGUAAAGCUCUUUUACCCGGGAUGAUAAUGACAGUACCGGGAGAAUAAGCGCCGGCUAACUCCGUG
rnacentral:rRNA from 1 species